ACUCUACAGUUAAGCAUGCUUGAG
rnacentral:siRNA from 1 species